UACGUAGGGGGCUAGCGUUGUCCGGAAUCAUUGGGCGUAAAGAGCGUGUAGGCGGUCCGGUAAGUCCGCUGUGAAAGUCGGGGGCUCAACCCUCGAAUGCCGGUGGAUACUGUCGGGCUAGAGUGCGGAAGAGGCGAGUGGAAUUCCUGGUGUAGCGGUGAAAUGCGCAGAUAUCAGGAGGAACACCUAUUGCGAAGGCAGCUCGCUGGGACGUAACUGACGCUGGAGACGCGAAAGCGUGGGAGCAAACAGG
rnacentral:rRNA from 1 species